rnacentral:snRNA from 1 species
UGUAAGUGGCAGAGUGGC